rnacentral:rRNA from 1 species
GCGUAAUAGCUCACUAGUCGAGUUUUAAAGCACUGAUAAUGUAUCGGGGCUUCACAAAAUUACCCAAGCGACAGAGAACAAUGGUAGCGGAGCGUUUUGUAGACCGUAGAAGAAGUUUUGUGAAAAACUUUGGAGGAUUCAAAAGUGAGAAUGCUGACAUGAGUAACGAAAAAUCAUGUGACAAUCAUGAUCGCCGUAAGUUCAAGGGUUUCUGCGUUCUGUUUUUCAGCGCAGAGUGAUCCGGUCUCUAAGUGUGUUUUUGAUAAAAAACCACGAUGAAAAAAAUGAAAGAUGACGAAAUGUUUUUUAGAAACCAACAGUUUAUUGGAUAGCUUUUUCGUUUCUAAUGUUUCCAGGAAAAAUCUUCAUAAAAUUGACCGUACCCUAAACCGACACCGGUGAACGAGUCGAGUAGACUCAGGCGUUGAGAGAACCAUAUUGAAGGAACUCGGCAAAUUUUUCCUGUACCUUUGGAAGAAAGGAAGCCAAUUUUGGUGACACAAAAAUGGGGGUGACGACUUUUUACUAAAAAAUUAGGACUCUGCAAAAUGGGAACAUGAAGUAUAGGGUCUGACGCCUGCCCGG